AACCAGUAUCCAUUUCUAGAGAUGAUGCAUUCAAAAUAACAUUCAAUCCUACUUAACCUGAUAAUCUUAAUCCUAUUGCAUGUUCUCAGAUUCACUGCGACUGAGUUGAUCAGCUCUUCACUGUUUUGAACAUAAAACAAUAUAACCUGUGAUAAAGUCUUAUUCAUUGAAGACCUGUGCUGGUUAGCUGGUAUCCGAAUCCAUCCUUGCUCUUGGGAAAUCACCUAAUGAUUCUGAAACGUUUGUGCACAAAUGGAUAAUUUCCAGUUAACGUUUGUGUAUCAAACAAUGGUGAUCUGAGAAAUCCACCAAAAGCAUAAACCAAAUAAAAAGGAAGAUGUAUCUUGUUUAGUUAUGAUCAUUUAUAAGGAACGUUAUACUUUUAGAUAUUAUUUGUGUUAUGGCUAAGUAAUGAUUAAUAGAUGAUUUAAGCGGAGAAAGGAAUAAUCAAUAGGUCAUCUUCCUAAGUGUAGAGACCCAUAUUUUAUGGUCAAAAGACAGGUUUGUGAUGACAUUACCUAAUUAGCAUCUGCUGAGAGAGGCUGUUGUGUAUGAUAGAAUCACCACAAAUAGAUGUGGUUUAGAGUCUUCCAUUAGCUAAUGGGACCUGGGGAAACAAUUCUGACUCUUAGAUUUUUCAUCAGUAAAUUAAGAGAUUAGAUCAAUGCAUUUGAAACCCAAAGCUCCACAGUUUUCUGUGAUGGCCCCAGGUUUUCCACUCAGACACUGGUUUUCUGGCAAAUUUUUGAAUGGUGAAUUUGGAGACAUUGUAAAUAGUCUGGCAGGUUUAAUAAUAAAGAAGACAAAGUUGAGAACUGUCGCAUAGAGUAUGGCUUUACUUUUUUAAGGAAAUGUGCUGUCAUUGACCUUGGUCACUGAAAGAAACGAGCGAUUUCCAUGAAACUCUGGUGGGUGCUCUGGACAGUGACACUAUGACUAAUCUACUCUCCUUCCUGAAGUCGGUGACCAGGGUAAAGUCCUGUCUCCAGCUUCAAAAAAUCACAUGGAAAAAAAAAUCCCUAAUCCUUAGAUCUAAAUUGAUGACAACAGAAUGGUGCAACUUGAAUGCAAGAUUUUAAAAAUCACAUUUCUAAAUUUCCAGCUGCGUUUCACUGUCAUCUAAUAACACCUUGUUCACCAUCUUCCCUGGAGUAGAAUGAUGAGAAUCUAAGAGACACUUGCGCCCUGAAAGAGCACAAUUUUGGAUUCUUCCACAGCUUGCUGCAGGAAACUACAAACUACCAGAUGUCGCUAAGUAUUUGUUAACUGAAAAGGAGAGGAUUCAGACAUUUACCGAAGCAUCCCUGUCAAAAUAAAUGUCACUAUUCAACCGGUUGACACAUCUCCCGUGGAUGACGUGGUUGUUAUGAAACUUGACCUCCUUUGUGGAGUUUGAACGAAGGAGAAGAUGAAAACACUGUCAUCUUUCCAAAAAAUGACCAUUGACUCCUCCUCCUCGAGGCAUUUUAACCGUUCUCUAAACAUGUAACUAAAAGAUAUGAGAAAAAAUAAAGAUUAUGGUUUCUAAAAUAACCAUACCGUUCACUAUGUCUGUUCUAUUAACUGUGACAAGUAUCUAAUGAUCCACAAAUAUUUCUUUAAAAUAGCUUCUAUAUUUUCACUUUUAUUUGAGACCAAUCAAUCCAUCCCUAAAGAACUGAAGCAGAAGCAGGUUUUAUUGGACAGGAUGACUCUAUGUCCUACAAUCCUCAAUCCUGCAAAAAUUCAGAAACCAUCAACAGAGGGUGGAUAUGGGUACUCUGAACAUAGUAUGCUGGUGCCUCUGACUGCAUCCCUGCUGGGCAUUGCUUUUAACUGGUCGAUCACAUUUGGCACAUUAUAGGUACAAUAUGAUGC
rnacentral:lncRNA from 1 species